GGAGGAGUCACAGACGACCCUGAGGUUUCUCCAUUUGUGGCUUGUUGGAUGGUGGUGCAAACAAGGACACAGGAGCAAAAGCAACUUUGAAACUCUAGUAAAGGCUGUGGCUUAGGCUUUCCAGUUAUUCCUGCUUCUGCCUCCUGAUCGAGACCUGACCCCUCCGCUGUGGCCCUGAGUGGCGUGGUGUGUCCCCUUCUCCCAGGAAGGACAUGGCUUCCCAGCACCUCCUGAAAGUUUUCAAGGUGAAGUGCCCUAGUUUUAUUUAAGCACCACCUGGCAGCCGCUGAAGUGUCACGUUUCCAUUUCACGAGAGCCAGCCACAAAUCUGAUUGCUCCUGCUCCACAUGAUUAGCACGUUUUGGGUGACAUUCUUAGGUUGGUCACACUUCUGAGCAUGUUGUGAUUCUUUAAUAGUUUUUCUGAAGGGCGCCAGGCAUCCA